UCUCUCUAUAAGGUUUUCAUUUGAGGUGGAAUCAAGCUCUCAAAUCUUGAUGGUGUUGGAUUGCAAUUGCAGGAAAGUUUUUGAAGUUGGGUUGCUUCCGGAAAGAUCAUAUCAAGUUGAGGAGUCAAAGUUGGGUUCUUGGUAAAGAAGAAUUGGAGUCCAUUGGUACUCCUUUGCUUUCUUG